rnacentral:rRNA from 1 species
AUGAACGCUGGCGGCGUGCCUAAUACAUGCCAGUCGAGCGAACAGACGAGGAGCUUGCUCCUCUGACGUUAGCGGCGGACGGGUGAGUAACACGUGGAUAACCUACCUAUAAGACUGGGAUAACUUCGGGAAACCGGAGCUAAUACCGGAUAAUAUAUUGAACCGCAUGGUUCAAUAGUGAAAGACGGUUUUGCUGUCACUUAUAGAUGGAUCCGCGCCGCAUUAGCUAGUUGGUAAGGUAACGGCUUACCAAGGCAACGAUGCGUAGCCGACCUGAGAGGGUGAUCGGCCACACUGGAACUGAGACACGGUCCAGACUCCUACGGGAGGCAGCAGUAGGGAAUCGUCCGCAAUGGGCGAAAGCUUGACGGAGCAACGCCGCGUGAGUGAUGAAGGUCUUCGGAUCGUAAAACUCUGUUAUUAGGGAAGAACAAAUGUGUAAGUAACUAUGCACGUCUUGACGGUACCUAAUCAGAAAGCCACGGCUAACUACGUG